GUGGGGAAUAUUGGACAAUGGGCGAAAGCCUGAUCCAGCCAUGCCGCGUGUGUGAAGAAGGUCUUCGGAUUGUAAAGCACUUUAAGUUGGGAGGAAGGGCAGUAAGUUAAUACCUUGCUGUUUUGACGUUACCAACAGAAUAAGCACCGGCUAACUUCGUGCCAGCAGCCGCGGUAAUACGAAGGGUGCAAGCGUUAAUCGGAAUUACUGGGCGUAAAGCGCGCGUAGGUGGUUUUGUAAGUUGGAGGUGAAAUCCCCGGGCUCAACCUGGGAACUGCCUCCAAAACUGCAUGACUAGAGUACGGUAGAGGGUAGUGGAAUUUCCUGUGUAGCGGUGAAAUGCGUAGAUAUAGGAAGGAACACCAGUGGCGAAGGCGACUACCUGGACUGAUACUGACACUGAGGUGCGAAAGCGUGGGGAGCAAACAGGAUUAGAUACCCUAGUAGUCC
rnacentral:rRNA from 1 species